GUUAGUGAAUAGUGUUCAGCACCGAGGACAGGUGUGUUUACCUGUGUGUGAUGGCAUUUAACACCAGGGACAGGUAUAUUUACCU
rnacentral:pre_miRNA from 1 species